UUUUGCCGAACUUCAUUUUCCAUCUUUAAAAUGGAAGCAUGGAAACAAUAGCCGUGUCUCCCUCUUAGUGUUGCCGUGAGGAUGACCAAGAUUAUGUGUAUGGAAAUGCCUCCAGUGGUCCCUGGCGUGCAGCAGGCACUCAGCAGGAAAAGAAAAAAAAAAAAAGGUGUGGUUCUGUCAGUCAGAAUAGACCUAACAAAAGCAACUGAUCAAGAGUGUUACCUCCCUAAAAACAGGAUAGUAACAAGUUUUCAGCUUCCUCAUGUCUUCCGUAGCCUUCAAUUCAGGCCAUUACAGGAUUUCUCCUCUCUCCCGCCCCAGGAAUAAGUCUCUUAUGUGAAAAUGAAGUCAAUGGAAAAUUACAUUUAUUUUAUAGCCACAUUUCUCUAACACAUUUCCCCCGGAAGUAAACAAUUUUCUAUAUAGAGACAUAAGACUUAUUUUCCCUAAGACAAACAAUAUGCAUAAUAUUAACAGUGAGUAAAUUAGAGACCAACUUCCAGCAUGGCAGUGUAAGGAGCUCCUUGAAGUUGCUCCCCAGUGAGCCUGGUGAAAACUACCAAAAAAAAAAAAAAGAAAGAAAAGCAAAAACCAAAAACAAAAAAACAUAUAGCCUCUGGAAAUGGUAGAAGGAGCAAACAGCAAAUGACAAAAUCUCUUUUCAAGACAAUCUAUCAAAAUCUGGUAGGAAUGGUGAGAGUCUGUGCUAUUUGAGCUAAGAAUGCACCUCUGUUCCCUUCUCCCAGCUCAGGGAGGUGGGGAGUCCAUGCCAAAGACUGCAGCCAAGAACACAGGGCCCUCCCCAGCACCCAGCUGGAGGACUUUCCUCCUUGGGAGGGGCAGGACUUCAGGGCUUCUCAUCUUGUCCCCUAACCCCUCAUGCCCUGCCGCCUGUUGCUGAGGCUAAGUACCAGAUGAGUGUGGUGAAAAAGUUGGGAGUGGGGGAGAGGUGCAGGCUGUAAAACAGAUAGCUCCUGUAUCUUCGCAGAGGAACUGACUUGAUGUGCAACACAGUCUGGAGGAGGUUAAACCUGAGGGCACUCUCAAGAACAGUGGAGUUGUGGUGAAAGGCAACUGGGCAGAGAUUUGUGCAUCUACUGUAAAGACAGCCUAGAUGGUAGG
rnacentral:lncRNA from 1 species